ACAGAAGAUGCCCAGAGGGUGAAUGGCACUACCAAAGUUGGUGGGGCAGAGGAUGCAGAGUGAUGAAUUGGAGCACCUUGGUCUUGCUACGUGUUUGGGUGGCAAGGGACAAGACUUGUUUUUCGCUUGCUGUCUUUUUCUUUUUAAAUUGCCAUAUUAUGGUGUGGUUUACAGUUAGCAUGAUAUGUCCAAACAUGAUGAUUGGUCCUACUUGUACUCAUCCAAGCGUUUACUUACUGUGAUGGCGAAUGGAGUGUAGAGGCUUGGCCU